GUCGCCCAGCCGUGGCGGUUGCUAGAGCGCCGGCCCCUGGGAGUGCUGUGUUCGUGGGAGCUGUUGCUAUUUAUUCAGACACUGAGAGACAUCAUGACUCUACCCGUGGGAUCUCCGAAGACAAAUCCGCCCAGGAGCUCCCCGACUUCCUGUCGAACCUUCAAACCGGCCUCUGUUCCUCUUAUUCAUCGCCCUGCUCAGUGUCUCAAGCGAGGGGGCGAAGAAUGGAUGAAACGCAGCCAGCGCCCUGCUUGCCCAGCGGCACAGCCGGGCGAGAGCUUGGUCCACCGCGAGGAAGGAGCGCUUGGUCCCUACACCCGCGUGCGACUGUGGCCACACUCGGGGGCUACAGGGACCCAGAGGGGACUUUCCUCGUUGAGGUGAAGACGCCCAUCAGAGCAGAUAGCAAAGGAUCCACAGGAAAGCCGAGGCUGACCAUUCAGCUGCAGCGCGGAUGGGACAGCAGGCCCUCAGAGAGGGGCCGACGGGGAAGGAGAGGGCAGCUGGAGACAGCAGUGUGAGUGACCUGCCAGCACCGGAGCCCGACCAGGACGGACAGAGGAGCAUAGUCGAGGACUCGUGAGGACCACGAGGGGUCAGAACGCGGGUUUGAAGGUUGCACUGGAGACUGGUGCUAGCAGGAGACGAAGAGGAGAGAACGAAGAGGCCGGACAAAGAGAAGCCAAAUGGACCUGCGGCCUGUUGACCAAGGCUGUUGUCUGUGCGGGCGGUUUCGUCACGAGAGGAGGUUUGUGUGUGGCCCAGGGGCAGACCUAACGCCGGAGGCUUAAAGGAGCCUGUGGCCAAAUACAGCCAGCCCGACCCAGCUGUAUGUCCCAAUAACCAGCCUAGAAGGCAGCCCAGCAUCUCUGAACCUCAAUGCCAAAGUCCCAGGAGAGAGAUGCUGGUUGGCCCAGCUUGAAUCAGCGUCCACUCCUCGUCCAACCAGCUGUCGUCAGGGGAGCAGAGAGGUAGGGAACAAAUAUGCCCCUGAGGCUCGGCCAGGCGAGAGGUCUCAGAAAAGGGAGGUCGAGGGCUGGCCAGGAGCACAAAGGAUGCCCCCUCACACCCGCCCACCCAUUUGGAUUCGAUGAGAGAUUAGUCUGAGCUGAAUCAAGCUGCAGGCCCCUGUCCAUUUGGCCAUGGUCAUCUGGACUGUUGGCUGGGCCCCUUCCCUUCAUCUCUGCACGUGUUACUUCCCCUCCCGGAGCCUCUGCUUCCUCAUUUGUGAAUGAUGAUAUCAGUUCCUCCCAGAAGGUGAUUGUAAGACCCCACUUGAGGUCACGUGGGCAGAGGGCUCAAGGCCUUGCUGGUCACAGUGACCAUGACACACCUGAGCUUCCUAAACUCCUAAGUUCCUGGUCCUCCUCUGCCUACCCCUCUGCGUCCUUCUUCCUCUCCUGCCACCACCAAUCUUCCCCCACCGCCACUGUGGCUUCAGGACACUUGUGGUCACACCUGAUGGGAUCCACCCCCACCCCUGCUCACAUAUUGCUAAUUUGGGGCACACACACUGAGGGGCCUGGGUUGAGCUGUGGAAACCAUAAACUCUGACGUCUUCUUGGUUCACUGAGCCUCCGUGGUCAUCCUGGCUUGUGGGCCAGUCAUCGUGCUGCAGCCCCAGCCUGAAUCGGGUGGAGGACGCCCAGCAGCAAAGGAAAGAAGCAGGGAGGGAAGUGGGGAAACCAGCAUCUGUAGGACAUUGGACACCCCAGAUGCUCCUAGGGGUCUCCUGGUCCCCACGCACUGUGGACAGAAGUGGCUAUGAUGGUAAGUUUCCUGUCGUUUUCUCAUCCAUUGAACAAAUGUUCCCAACUGCCCACUGUCUUCUGACUAGGGGCUGGGCACUGGACUCAGAGAUGCAGCAGGUGUGAGUGCUGAACUUGGGAACCCAGUUCAGCCCACGACCUAAGGCUGAGCAGGCCUCACCACCACCCUGUGGGUGCAAAAAGACCACAAGGAGAUGAAUCUGUAGUGCCCCAGCCCCAAGGCUCCUCCUUGCCCCAGAGCCCCAGUCCCCCAUAAGCCCCCCACCUUCCACCCCUAUGAGAGAGUUUUGGUUGGCCCCAAAUGGCAUCUUGGCUGCAUUGGCUUCAGUUGGCCUCUGCCUCCCUGGUGUGCCGCAGUCCUCUCCAGGCCCCGCCAGGCACCUUGGCUGGCCCCUGAGCCCUUGCUCAGCCUUUGCUGUACCGGCCUCUGCUCUGCACAGACCUUGA